rnacentral:rRNA from 1 species
CCUACGGGAGACAGCAGUGAGGAAUAUUGGUCAAUGGACGGAAGUCUGAACCAGCCAUGUAGCGUGCAGGAAGACGGCUCUAUGAGUUGUAAACUGCUUUUGUACAAGGGUAAACCUGAAUACGUGUAUUCAGCUGAAAGUACUGUACGAAUAAGGAUCGGCUAAUUCCGUGCCAGCAGCCGCGGUAAUACGGAGGAUCCAAGCGUUAUCCGGAUUUAUUGGGUUUAAAGGGUGCGUAGGCGGAUUGAUAAGCUAGUGGUGAAAUGUCCGGGCUUAACUCGGGAACUGCCUCUAAUACUGUUGAGCUAGAGAGUAGAUGCGGUAGGCGGAAUGUAUGGUGUAGCGGUGAAAUGCUUAGAGAUCAUACAGAACACCGAUUGCGAAGGCAGCUUACCAAUCUAUAUCUGACGUUGAGGCACGAAAGCGUGGGUAGCGAACAGGAUUAGAUACCCCGGUAGUC